CCAUCUAACCUCAAUGCCAUCUCUGUGGGGAGGGUGGGAGUUUCAGACACAUCAGGUCUAAAGCAGGGGAAACAAAAAGCCUUCAGGACCAAGAGGCUUGGGUCAGGUCAAGGCCACAUAGUGAGCUUAAAACGCAACUGGGUGCAAGUAUUCUUGUCGUGUUUUCCUUCAACAGAACAGGACAAUAUUCCAGCACUGAACGUUGCACCUUGCUCUGCACAUAGUUUACAGAUCACUUCACUUCCUGUUACAGUGCAGAUUGACCACACAGUUAAAAGUAGUUACAGAAAGUAGUUUCUCAACAUUGCUCCCAACGCCCCUUCAAACAGAGCCAUACAGCAUGGAAACAGGCCCUUCGGCCCAACUUGCCCACACUGGCCAACAUGUCCCAGCUACACUUGUCCCACCUGCCCACCAUCCAAACCUGUCCUAUCCAUGUACCUGUCUAACUGUUUCUUAAAUGUUGGGAUAGUCUCAGCCUCAACUACCUCCUCUGGCAGCUUGUUCCAUACACCCGCCACCCUUUGUGUGAAAAAGUUACCCCUCAGAUUACUAUUCAAAUCUUUUCCCCUUCACCUUAAACCUAUGUCCUCGGGUCCUCUUAGUUGGUUCUUGAUUUCUUGGUCCUCCAAAAUAUUCCAAAUGGAAUUUAAACUGGAGGUGGGCAAGAGACUCACGAUUUUAUAUACUUGUAUAUUUUAAGUAUUAAAUUAUCUUGAUGUAUUCUGCUUAAGAAGGAACUGCAGAUGCAGGAAAAUCGAAGGUAGACAAAAGUGCUGGAGAAACUCAGCGGGUGCAGCAGCAUCUAUGGAGCGAAGGAAAUAGGCAACGUUUCGAGCUGAAACCCUUCUGUAUUCUGUGUCAUCUAAAGCUCUGCAAACAAUAUGAAUAUAUUGUAGGAAGGAACUGCAGGUGCUGGCUUACACCGAAGAUAGAAACAAAAACGCUGGAGUAACUCGGAGGGUCAGGCAGCAUCUGUGGAGAAAAGGAACAGGUGACAUUUCGGGCCGAGACCCUUCUUCAGACUGAGAGUCGGGGGAGAGGGAGACUGGAGGAUACUUGAAAAUAAUUCCAGAAGGCACAGAAGCUUGAAGGCACGCACCACCAGACUCAGGAACAGCUUCUUCACCGCUGUUAUCAGGCUUCUGAAAGUGUCCUUCCAUUAGCUGGGUUAUUGUCUGAUUCACCUCUACCCCAUUGAGGACAUUGGACUUUGUCUAUGGAACUGAUGCAAGACAAUGCUGGGGGUCAAGGAAAGAGCGUUCAUGUCACGCCCCCUGUCUCCACCGAUCUUUCCACCACCAUGCACAAGAAGCAACAAGACAGACACCAUUGUGCAGAUGCCGAGAUGUGUCUUCAGUUCUGGCUGAAAUCUUGUGUGUGGACUCGAUAACAAGAAGUAGCUACAUUGCUGAGAACUAUACUCUGCCACCCUUCCCUUUAUCUAUUAUACUUGAGAUUGGACUUAUUGUAUCUACGUACAGCAUUAUCUGAUCAGUUUGGAUAGCACACAAAACAAAGCUUUUCACUGUACCUGGGUACAUGUGGCAAUUAUAUAAACCGACACCUAAACCAUAAUGUAAUAUAUUUCUUUAUGCGUUAGCAAAGAUGCAUUCCAAGUAUACGGACUUUGGGGCUGCACACAGUGGCUCAGCGGUAGAGUUACUGCCUCACAGCGCCAGAGACCCACGUUCCAUCCCGCCCUCGGGUGCUGUCUGUGUGGAGUUUGCACCUUCUCCCAUGUGACUGCGUGGGUUUCCUCCAGCAGUUCUGGUUUCCUCCCACAUUCCUAAAGGCGUGCAGGUUUGUCGGCGAAUUGGUCUCUAUAAAAUUGUCCCUAGUGUGUAGGGAAAGUGGGCUAACAUAGAUCUAGUGUGAACAGGUGAUCGAUGGCUGGCAUGGACUCGGUGGGCCGAAGGGCCUUCUGCCAUGCUGUAUCCCUGAACUGAACUAGAGAAGAAAGAUUUAUUAAAAAUAGCGAAAACUCUUUUGAUUUUUAAAUCUCAUCCUGGUAGUCAACUGUUUAGUUUAGUUUAGUUUAGAGAUACAGUGGAAACAGCCCCACCUAGUCUGUGCCAACCAGCGAUCACUAGUUCUAUCUGGACUGUCAAAGCUGCCAAAGCCAGCAUUUUUCCACGAGAAGUAGCUCUACUCAAUAACCAAAAAUCUGUAGCCUCCUUUUGCUCUGGUAUUUUAUUUAAUUCACACGUUUAAUCGAUAAUGUUUUUUUUAUUAAUGUUUAGUGUUUAAUGUGUCAUUCCUAAUUGUCACUGAAUGUCAUGUUGUCACUUGCGGGCGGAGCACCAAGGCAAAUUCCUUGUAUGUGAAUACUUGGCCAAUAAACUUCUUCAUUC